GGGGUUGUGGUUCAGUGGUAGAGCACUUGCCUAGCAUGUGCGAGGCCCUGGGUUCCAUCCUCAGCACCCCA
rnacentral:tRNA from 1 species